GUAAAAACAAUUAUGAUAAUGUCAAAUGCCAAAUUUUGUGUAAAUAUAUAGUUUAUUAGAUGUUCUUUACACAAUUUAAAACGUUACUAAGCUUUUUCCCUCUGAGUAGAAUUGUACUUCAACAUGAUUGACGCUUCGAAUGUUUUUUCUAAAGCAGUUUCCUGGCCUUUUGAAAAGAUACUGUUCAAAAGGCUAAAGACUCUCUCAGCAGCACCAGAACGUAGUUGAUGACGAGCAAAAUUUUUCUAACAACAGCUGCCCAUUUUGGAAGAGUGCUUGCAUUCCUUGCCCACCACUUUACUUUGUCAUCUUCCGUUUGUACUUGAACACCAUCUGAUAGAGCCAGAUAAUUUGGAAGUUCUUGACCAAGUCCAUUAAUAAUUGCAUCAUCAUCCAAAAAUGGAAAUUUACGAAGUAGUUCUAAAGACUCUAUGGUAGGUUGGAGUCCUUGAACUUGUACUGGACAGCACAACUGCACAAGCGUGCACCUCGAAAUGCUCGCAUAAUAUCAUAGAACUCAAUGUUGACUUUGUUCAAGUAGUAUUGGAAGCCAGGUUUGAUGCAAGACUUCGCUCUUUCAAGCAGUUGGUUGAAAAUAACCUGGUUGCCAUUUGCUCUUUCACGUGACAGUGCAGUACAAUUGCACUGUUUGAGCCAAAGCCGUCAAGUGCUGGUAAAUAUCAAAGGACCAUCCCCUUCGAGAUUGUAUGUUGUUGUAACAAAGCUUCGUCCACCAUCAAUUAGAGCUGCAAUUUCAAGCUUUAAAUCCGCAACAUCUUCAGGACUUAAAGUUUGUUCGUUCACUGCAACCAGGUAUAUCAAUCGUGUUUCGCUCGCUACUCUGGUUUAAAGAAAUGAUUACAAAGCCCAGUCGAAUUGUAAUCAAGACCCAACGUUUCGACA